GACGAACGCUGGCGGCGUGCUUAACACAUGCAAGUCGAACGGAAAGGCCCUGCUUUUGUGGGGUGCUCGAGUGGCGAACGGGUGAGUAACACGUGGGUAACCUGCCCUUGACUUUGGGAUAACUUCAGGAAACUGGGGCUAAUACCGGAUAGGAGCUCCUGCUGCAUGGUGGGGGUUGGAAAGUUUCGGAGGUUGGGGAUGGACUCGCGGCCUAUCAGCUUGUUGGUGGGGUAGUGGCUUACCAAGGCUUUGACGGGUAGCCGGCCUGAGAGGGUGACCGGCCACAUUGGGACUGAAAUACGGCCCAGCCUCCUACGGGAGGCAGCAGUGGAGAAUAUUGCACAAUGGGCGGAAGCCUGAUGCAGCAACGCCGCGUGCGGGAUGACGGCAUUCGGGUUGUAAACCACUUUCGCCUGUGACGAAGCGUGAGUGACGGUAAUGGGUAAAGAAGCACCGGCUAACUACGUG
rnacentral:rRNA from 1 species